GUUUAAAGGGACACUAUAGUCACCUAAACAACAUUAGCUUAAAGGACCACUAUAGUGCCAGGAAAACACUCGUUUUCCUGGCACUAUAGUGCCCUGAGGGUGCCCCCACCCUCAGGGACCCCCUCCCGCCCGGCUCUGGAAGGGGGAAAGGGGUGAAAACUUACCUUUUUCCAGCACUGGGCGGGGAGCUCUCCUACUCCGAUCCUCCUCCGUUCC